rnacentral:rRNA from 1 species
GCAAGUCGAACGGUGAACACGGAGCUUGCUCUGUGGGAUCAGUGGCGAACGGGUGAGUAACACGUGAGCAACCUGCCCCUGACUCUGGGAUAAGCGCUGGAAACGGCGUCUAAUACUGGAUACGAGUAGCGACCGCAUGGUCAGUUACUGGAAAGAUUUAUUGGUUGGGGAUGGGCUCGCGGCCUAUCAGCUUGUUGGUGAGGUAAUGGCUCACCAAGGCGUCGACGGGUAGCCGGCCUGAGAGGGUGACCGGCCACACUGGGACUGAGACACGGCCCAGACUCCUACGGGAGGCAGCAGUGGGGAAUAUUGCACAAUGGGCGCAAGCCUGAUGCAGCAACGCCGCGUGAGGGAUGACGGCCUUCGGGUUGUAAACCUCUUUUAGCAGGGAAGAAGCGAAAGUGACGGUACCUGCAGAAAAAGCGCCGGCUAACUACGUGCCAGCAGCCGCGGUAAUACGUAGGGCGCAAGCGUUAUCCGGAAUUAUUGGGCGUAAAGAGCUCGUAGGCGGUUUGUCGCGUCUGCUGUGAAAUCCGGAGGCUCAACCUCCGGCCUGCAGUGGGUACGGGCAGACUAGAGUGCGGUAGGGGAGAUUGGAAUUCCUGGUGUAGCGGUGGAAUGCGCAGAUAUCAGGAGGAACACCGAUGGCGAAGGCAGAUCUCUGGGCCGUAACUGACGCUGAGGAGCGAAAGGGUGGGGAGCAAACAGGCUUAGAUACCCUGGUAGUCCACCCCGUAAACGUUGGGAACUAGUUGUGGGGUCCAUUCCACGGAUUCCGUGACGCAGCUAACGCAUUAAGUUCCCCGCCUGGGGAGUACGGCCGCAAGGCUAAAACUCAAAGGAAUUGACGGGGACCCGCACAAGCGGCGGAGCAUGCGGAUUAAUUCGAUGCAACGCGAAGAACCUUACCAAGGCUUGACAUAUACG